AUUGAACGCUGGCGGCAGGCCUAACACAUGCAAGUCGAACGAGUGGCGGACGGGUGGGUGAGGGAUGGGAAACUGCCUAAUGGAGGGGGAUAACGACUGGAACCGGUGGCUAAUACCGCAUACCGUCAGAUGGGCCCUGAUGGGUGUAGCUUGUGGGUGGGGUAACGGCUCACCAAGACGACAAUGCAUAGCUGGUCUGAGAGGAUGAGCAGCCACACUGGAACUGAGACACGGUCCAGACUCCUACGGGAGGCAGCAGUGGGGAAUCUUGCACAAUGGGCGAAAGCCUGAUGCAGCAAUGCCGCGUGUAUGAAGAAGGCCUUCGGGUUGUAAAGUACUUUCAGCGGGGAGGCGUUACCCGAACAAGAAGCACCGGCUAACUCCGUGCCAGCAGCCGCGGUAAUUC
rnacentral:rRNA from 1 species